rnacentral:lncRNA from 1 species
GUGAAUUUUCUGGUCUAUGAAUUAUAUCUCAAUUUUAAAAAAGCAGAGGAAGAAGCCUCCAACCAGGAAACAGCCCUCUGUCACUGUGGCUCUGACAUGCCACCCAGAUGUGGUGACCCUGAGCAGAACAGCAGGGGCUGCAUAAAGGAGGGCACCACCCACAGUACUAACCUGCUCCCAGGAUAGCCGGAGGUCCUGGUGGCCCUGGGGGUCCCGGUGGCCCAGGGGAACCAGGUCUUCCAAAUCCAGGUGGCCCAGGCAGGCCAGGAGCACCCGGGGGUCCCUGGGGCCCGAUGACGGUCUCCCCUUUCUGGCCCUGAGGGCCUGACACCAAGAAGUCGCCAUUAGAGUCUCCUUUUUCUCCUUUGAGCCCCCUGUCUCCAUUCUCCCCCUGAAAGCACAGAACAUUCAGGGAGCCCAGGAUGAACCAGUCUCUGAUAUCAGCCCAAGAACCUGAAACACAGGUCAGAUGUUUAGUAGAGAAAUACUCACCUUCAAGCUGUUCAGAAAAUGUCUCAGGUAGGCUGGAUCUACUGGAGGGCCUGAAAAAGAAACACUUUGUAAAAUUCACAGUCAUAACCUCAGAAAUUUAAAAUAAAAGUUGGCAACCAAGUCAGCAACCAUGAUUAUUUCCUAGCGGAAGUGCCCCUGCCUUGGUUUAGCUAGCAGAAAGGGCCCUGGGCUUGGAGGCAGAACCCACUCCUGGUCCAGGCCCCGAAACCCAGACACUGUGGAUCCCAGGCACAUCCCCGGCCCUCUGUGGGCCUCGUUUUGGAUGUGAAGCAUGAACAAUUGGAACUUCCGGGCUCUCCUGACGAUGCUGCAUCCUGGGCGCUCACUGCCCGUGACUGGGUCUCUCUAGAGCUCCGUGGAGCUCGCAGUCGAGGUCAUAAUGUAACCGGUCUUACUUUCCGGCUCUGUUGGAUUUCUCAGGAACAAAAAUCAAAGGCAAGACCCAGAACAGGAAUUGGAAUACCUGGUGGUCCCUGGGCCCCCUGGUCGCCUUUUUCUCCUUUUGAGCCAGGAAGACCCCAGGAUCCUUUCU